UGAGGAAUAUUGGUCAAUGGACGCAAGUCUGAACCAGCCAUGCCGCGUGCAGGAAGACGGCUCUAUGAGUUGUAAACUGCUUUUGUACGAGGGUAAACUCACCUACGUGUAGGUGACUGAAAGUAUCGUACGAAUAAGGAUCGGCUAACUCCGUGCCAGCAGCCGCGGUAAUACGGAGGAUUCAAGCGUUAUCCGGAUUUAUUGGGUUUAAAGGGUGCGUAGGCGGUUUGAUAAGUUAGAGGUGAAAUCCCGGGGCUUAACUCCGGAACUGCCUCUAAUACUGUUAGACUAGAGAGUAGUUGCGGUAGGCGGAAUGUAUGGUGUAGCGGUGAAAUGCUUAGAGAUCAUACAGAACACCGAUUGCGAAGGCAGCUUACCAAACUAUAUCUGACGUUGAGGCACGAAAGCGUGGGGAGCAAACAGGAUUAGAUACCCUGGUAGUCCACGCAGUAAACGAUGAUAACUCGUUGUCGGCGAUACACAGUCGGUGACUAAGCGAAAGCGAUAAGUUAUCCACCUGGGGAGUACGUUCGCAAGAAUGAAACUCAAAGGAAUUGACGGGGGCCCGCACAAGCGGAGGAACAUGUGGUUUAAUUCGAUGAUACGCGAGGAACCUUACCCGGGCUUGAAAGUUACUGACGAUUCUGGAAACAGGAUUUCCCUUCGGGGCAGGAAACUAGGUGCUGCAUGGUUGUCGUCAGCUCGUGCCGUGAGGUGUCGGGUUAAGUCCCAUAACGAGCGCAACCCCUACCGUUAGUUGCCAUCAGGUCAAGCUGGGCACUCUGGCGGGACUGCCGGUGUAAGCCGAGAGGAAGGUGGGGAUGACGUCAAAUCAGCACGGCCCUUACGUCCGGGGCUACACACGUGUUACAAUGGUAGGUACAGAGGGUCGCUACCCCGCGAGGGGAUGCCAAUCUCGAAAGCCUAUCUCAGUUCGGAUUGGAGGCUGAAACCCGCCUCCAUGAAGUUGGAUUCGCUAGUAAUCGCGCAUCAGCCAUGGCGCGGUGAAUACGUUCCC
rnacentral:rRNA from 2 species